rnacentral:lncRNA from 1 species
UUUAAUUAAAUUCGUUAAUAUUCAUCAUUUUAUAUAAUCUUAACCUCAACUUAAAAAUCUCGAAUCGUAACUCCUGUCCUAAGUUUACAUCAUUUUUAUUGAUUUGUGGAGAGACUAGAGAGCGGAUAUUAAUCGAGUAAAAAUUAAGGGAGCGGAGCAGGGCGCCUGCCUCACAAUUCACACGCUUUCUCACUCCUACACAAAACAAACAGUUUGUGUAACGUAAUUUACCUGUCCAGGCCAUCAGACCGUAAAAACAGUUUAUAUGAUGCUGAAACAAAAAAAUACUUUUAACAUAGGAAAUACUUUUACCUGGGAAAACAAAAGGAAUAAGCUUUCUUUGUAUUUCAAACAUAUAUAAGAACUAAACAGCAUCUUAUAGAAGUUAAAAUGAGACAACACCAAGGAGGCUGGCUUCUUUCAACUUGUGCUCAAACACCCUGAGAGACCAACAUCUAGUCUGAACAACAUUAGCUUUUUAAUUUAUAAUAGUGUAGUGUACAAUAUUCUCUCAAUAAGCUCAAUGGAAAAUUCUUCAAUGUCUUUGACAGCAAAACUAAUCUACACUACAAAUUUUGUGCUACAGUCUUAUUGAAUGUAAAUUGUCUCUAUUUUUACCAGUGCCUCUUUUCAUAAAACUAAAAAUUCAUAAAAUUAUGCUCUGACCUUAAAACUGCAAAAGCAAAAGUUUCCUACCACAGCUUAUAGGCAAAACCAGAAAGAGUUUCUCCUUCACCAGAUAUGAAGCCCUACAGUGAUUGCAGAUAAUUUCCCUGCAAAAAAAAAAACAAAGGAAGUUAAUAUGACAUGACUACCUUUUCUCCCUCCAUUUUACUGAGUUGUAACAGUAACUAACAACUUUAAAAAGUAAAAUAACAUUAUAUAUGUAAAUAAUUAAAUAAAGAAGGAUAGGGUAAGCACAUGAUCAAAUACACCUAUAAAUUUAAUCUAGGGGAAUUCUGUUCCAUCAAUCAAACCCUUUUGGCAAGUAGAAUCAAUAUGAAAAUGUCAUACUUCGCACAUAUUAGGUUUGUAACUUCUUUGACUGCUAAAUGUCUAGGUGAGAUAUUAGCCAACCUAAACCAGAAAAGAAUAAAGGAAAAGAAAAGAUCUCAGCAAACUAUUUGAAUCUCCAAAUCACUUGGAUGAAUUUGUGGACACACCACGACUCUACACCUGCACCAUUAGAAGCCCAAGGCAGCAAUCUGCAACUUGUAGGAAGGGCCACAAAGAAAAUAAACGAGGUCUAGAAAGCUUUUGAUAGAGAAUGUAUACAAAGAGAAGUUUAUACCUGAAAUGAACAACAAUGAUAAGUGAAUCUAAACAUCAGUAGCAUGAUGUAUCUUGAGCACUCACCUUUCAGAUAUUUGAAAAGGUUCUUAUUAGAGCCCCUACUCAACUAGUAGCCUAUACAUAAGGCUUUAGUACUCUUUGUAAUAAGAUAACAACAAUAUUCAAUACAUCUAUUCUAUCUCAAACAUGGUAUUAGACCUAAUUGGCCAACUAGAAGUCUUGCUUCCGCCGGGGGCGGCGGGUAUCUUUUCUUCCGCAGUUCUUUUUCUGUCUUUUUAGAGAAAAUCAAAAAUCCGUAGCCGUUGUUUGUUUUUGUGUUGAAAAAAAAAUUAGUUUCCUUGAAUAUGUAAAUGGAUGGUUAAUUGGAAAGUAAGGAUUGCAUGGGGCCGAGAUUUCAGGAAGGAAUGUGUCCUUCGAUUUUUGGGAGGCUAGAGAGUCCUCCAUUGUUUAGGAAGGCAAGGAGUCCUUCGUAACUGUUUUUGAAGGAUAGAGAGUCCUUCACAUUUGUUGUGGGAGACGAGUGUUCUACGUUAUUGCUAGUACAUGAUAUCCUUAGAAAAUGGAUGUCUAAAGUUAUAUACCGAGGGUGAGAAAUCUAAUUUUGGACAUAAAAAAAUCAAUCUUUUUUUUUCUAUGCAAAUUGAAGAGUGCCUCAAUCUUCGUAAUUGAUUUGAGUCUAUUAUUUUUAAGAUUAUGUUAUAUAACAAGUUGGAAGUUGUAGUUGUAAGUCGUGAUAUAAGACUUUCAAUUUGAGGGUGAGUAUUAGAAUAUAUUAUUAUUAUUAGGCAAGGAGUUCUUCGUAGUUAUUUUUGGGUCUUUUAUUUUGUUAGGUAACAAGUUGUAAGUCGUGAAAUAAGACUUCCAACUUGAGGAUGAAUAUUAGAGUAUAUUAUUAUUAGAAUUUGGUCACCAAGUAUACUUGGUGCCCACACAUACUUGGUGCCCACACAAUCUUGGGUCAUACUCAACUAGUAACCUAUAUAAGGCUUUAGUACUAUUUGCAAUAAGAUAACAACAAUAUCCAUCUAUUUUAUCUCCAACAGUUCUCAUUAAAAUUCCAUAAUUCCAUUCCACCGCUGAUCACCAGAUGUCUACUGAGCAUGUUAGCCAUGAAUCAAGGCAAUAACUCGAGAACUAGAUUAAGACGCAAUUCUUUUUAAUGCUUAAGGAAUUGUGCUAGUUCAACUGCUAAGAAACCAAUAGAAAAAUGCUACAUUCAACUCUUGAGAGAUCAAUUAACCAACAAAAAAAUGAAGAAGAAGAAGAAGAAAAGUACUUUCGAUUUUUAUUUUUUUUUAUUUUUUCCCUAUUUAUGUACUUAUUCUGCAAAAGAAUUACAUCUUUCGACAUGUAUAGGAGAUACCUUUUCUAGUUUUCUUCCAAUCUCACAUCUAUUCAAUCACCUAAACUAUUCCUUUAUUUUAACAUGAAAUUUAAUCAGUGUAUUAGCAAUUCUCUUAAUUGCAUUCCAUGUCCUAUGUAUUCCUCUAAAUGUCGUCUACAUUCAAAAUGCAGUCUCUCUUUUUUAUUCUUAUAAAAGACAUUGAUUCUCCUUUCAUAUCAUUUAAUUAUAGCGAACACAUCAAGGUUUAUUAAUAAAGAAUAUCCAUUCAGUCAAUAUAUUUCAUAAGAGCCAAAGGUGAGCAUCGAGCUCCAACUUGCAGUGGAGGGCAACAAGGAAAAAAAAGAGGCUCUAAAACUUGUGAAAGAGAGAGGAAAGGUAUCCAUGAGGAUAAAUUUCUACUUGUCACCAACAUGGAUGAUAAAGAAUUCAUACCUCAGCUUGAUGAUCAUGUAAACUAUCUUUCUUUUGUCAAGUAAAACAUCUUCAUAUACAUGUACAGGGGGGGCAUUCAUCAAGGUGUUCAGGCACCUGAACUCUUGCAUAUGAAUUGAUAUUAAAGACCAACCAUCAGAUAACUUCUAUUUUGGUUUUUCAAUUAUGGUCAAAGGUUCAUAGUUUUCAAUUCAUAGAAUACAUUAUGAGUGAUAUGCAAAUAUUUGGCAGUGAAGAGAAUAUAUAUGAGCAAGCGAAAAUACAGAUCUGAUGGAAUAUUUAACUAAUCCAAAUGUCUUCUGGGAAAAAAGGAACUGAAAUAUCCAAAUAAAAUAAGAGCCAUGAAUAAAGUCUUUUAGCCUCAAAUAUAAUAUUAGUUUUCUUUGAGCUUCCGUCCUUUUAAUAUUCUACUCAGAGCAUGGUCCAAAAUGAAAGAUCCUGUUUUUAUAAAUAUUGUCAAAGGUUAUCACAGCAAGUGGCCCAUGCUGAUAGUGAUUUAAUUGGAUAAUAUUACAACUAAAUAUUAGAUGUUAUACCAUAUAAAUUUACUAAGGCAAAUUUACCAUAUUGCAUGAAGUGCUCCAAUAGUUUCUAGAUGAUUUCCUAAUCUUAUAAUUUUAAAGUAAGCACCACUACCUCCAAAUUAGCUGAUAUUGUAGAUGAAAUUAUAAUCUUCCCAUCACCGUAGAAGCUAGAUAGAAAUGUACUUUUAAGAGAGUAACACAAUGCAAGCCCACUAUGCUCAACUAUUUAGCUUACCUGGAAGGUCCUAUGCUGCAAAUAUUCCUUGUUAACUUUAUGAGUGGAGACUAUACAUAUGUGAUUGUAAUAAAAACAGAUUAAGACAUAAAUCUUUCCUUAAACUCUAUUGCCUCCUAGUUCCAGCACAGCAUUAUAGCAACAUAAACCAAUAUAAUGCACAUAUUAAUGGUUAAUUUUCUAAUAUGCCUGACUAAAUGAUGAAAUGUGUAAAUAUUUAGUCCAUGAGAAAGACAGUCACUAAUAUCAUUUAAAAGUAAACAUAAUUGUCUAAAUGCAUUUUGCAUCAUUAUACAACAUAAUUUCUAUCCAAGCUGUAAUACCAAUAGUUUGCCAGGUACCAAGGGUUCUAUUCUACUACAUUGAUGGGAUUUUGGUUAGUCACAAAAAGUAGCCAAACCAUACUAGGUGCCUAUUUGGCGGAUCUGUGUGGCGUAGGGCGGUGAGACGAAAUACUUUAAAAUGCAGAGUUUUUGACAAAAGUGUUUUCAUAAGAAAGUUAAAAUAGUGUUUGAUUAUACAAUUGUAAAAGUACGUAAGAAAAAAUAGAAGAUUAAAUUUAUACAAAAGUGUGUAGUAAAACUUUAAGUUUUUCUUCAACAAUUUAAGGACAAAUUUGUAAAUUUUGUUUCGGCUAAAAGUGUUUUUGCCAAAAGCAUAAAUUUUCUAUUUUUUCUAAAAGUGUUUUUUAGCUAAUAUCUCUACUCACUAAAAGCCGUUUUAGAGAGACCAAACACUAAAGCAUCUCCGUAUUUAAUUUCAAAAGUGUUUUUACUCCACCAAACAACUAUUACAAGUUCAAGAAGUAGUCAGUGAGAGAAUAAACAUCAGAGAUAAAAGAGAUAAAACAUUAAAUGUAAUUAUGUAAACUUAAACGGUACACAGAAAGCCAGGAUUUUUCCACGAAGGCUAAUCAAUUACACAUCUAUAUCAACAUUAUACUUAAAAUCUUUAAUUAAUUGCUUACCCACAGAAUUUAAAAAGAAAAAGAUGCUGAACUAGAUUAUCGCGGUAAAGGUUGUCGAGUAGUAACAGAGAUAAUAACAUACCUAUAUGAACUUAUCUGCACCAGAUACAGCCAAGGUACGAACAUACCAAGAUAGCUAAAAAUUAUUUGGAUCCUUGUUCAACGCUCAAGGAUGUGGUGAAAAAGUACAAAAACCGUCACAUUUUAGACUCGGUGAAAUUAAGAUGCACAGCUUGAUAUCACUAGGAAAUAAAAUAAUAAGAAUUAGGCCACGUUGAGCACUUGAACUCUUAAAAUAGCCACUAGACUCACCAAAUCUUUAUUGUGACCCCACCUGAAUUAUAUUUUCUUACAUUACAAGGAAGAGAUGAGAAGGUGUUUAAUGAAAUUAAGAACACGUUUUUCCAGAACGAAGAGAAGGCUGACUGGUGAAUAUGUUUUUUGGUGGUAUAGUCUUAUCUGGUAUCCAUGUUUUACCUGGAAAUUGAAAGAAAAUUACAAUUUUCCCCCUGAUUUGCACUGAUCGACCAGCAGCUGGAAAAGCACCACUCAGGCCCACUACACUGUUUUCUCUCUUCCACCCACUUCUAUAAAUAGAGAAGCGAUAGCAGGCUUCUCUACACACAACAUUUUCUAUUUCAUAUCCUUCAUCAUUCUUCUCAUAGGUAGCUAGAACUAGUGCAUUCUAGUAUCAUGGCAUCCUCCUCAACCUGGACUUUCGAGCAAAACAAUCGGUUUGAGAAUGCAAUUGCUAUGUAUGACAAUGACGCGCCAGACUUCUGGCACAAUCUGGCUAAGGAAACAGGUGGGAAGACUGUGGAGGAAGUGAAGAGGCACUAUGAGCAGCUUGUGGAAGACAUCAAGCUAAUUGAGGCCGGCAAAUCACCCAAACUCAAUUACUUUCCAUUUGUAGGCCAUAUCGAAGGAUGCAACCUCAUGGAUGAUCAGAAACAGAGGUACAUAACCGUAGACUUUUGGUAUUUUUCUUUGAUGCUUUAAAUCAGUUUAAUGCUACGUUUUUAUAAUGCACGCAAGUAAACAUUCUAAUAAACAUACAUUUCAUUCAAGAAAGGAAAGCACUUGCAUAAUGCUACACAAAUCGAGGCCAAGAUUCUAUGAGAAGACCCCCCCCCCCCCUUCAAUGGGGUUCAAAGAUGGCAGUUUUACAUUCCAAUCCUUCAUAACAGAACAAUUGAUUGUUGUGAUCAUCAAAAUGGAAAAAUGAAUCCUUUUUAAUUGAAAAAUACUCCACUCUAAUAUAAAAAAAAAUUCAAGUGGCUUGGUAUCCCUAAUUAUCUCAAACUUAUAAAUAUAUAUUGUUUUCUUUUGGUUGCAGUAGGAAGGAUCAGAAGCAGAAGCAGAAGCAGAAGCAGAAGCAGAAGCAAAAGCAAAUAGCAGAAUGAAUAGCAAUAAGAGUUCAUCACAAAGAAAUUGCAGUGGCCAAAUAAAAAGGAAGCGAACCUGAUCAAGCUUCUCUGUCUUUGCCCUUUAUUUUCGUUUAUGCAUGCGAAUUCAUUAAAUUAGUGAUUUGGGUUUCCCCGUAUGCCAAUUAUGUAAUGGAUUCGAAUAAAAUUUUAAUCUUUUUGUUUUACUGGCCAAAUUCAUAGUAUGUUUCGAUCUAAAUCAAGAUUACAUUUGAUGAAUGAAAUUAUUGCAAAUAAAUUAAUGAAUCGUGCAUCAAUUGAAGGAAGGAAGGAUCACUGACCUGAUUCUGUGAAAUUAAUCCGACCCGUUACGGGGAAUCCAUCUGUGGUGAAACUGCAACACUUUUCGACUUUAUAAUUUCACUCUCCACCCGUUGGAUACAUCAUACAUCAAUUAAAGCCGUGCAAAACUGGAUCGGUUUUUCC